rnacentral:rRNA from 1 species
CUAAGAACAUUCCGCAAUGGACGAAAGUCUGACUAUGUGAUGCCGCGUGAGGGAUGAAGGUCUUCGGAUCGUAAACCUCUUUCGAUAGGGAAGAAAACCUGCUCUUAACGGAGCAGACUGACGGUACCUAGAGAAGAAGCCACGGCCAACUCUGUGCCAGCAGCCGCGGUAAUACAGAGGUGGCGAGCGUUACUCGGAUUUAUUGGGUGUAAAGGGCAAGUAGGCGUCUUAACAAGUUGGAGGUGAAAUCCUGCAGCUCAACUGCAGAACUGCUCCCAAAACUGUUAGGAUUGAGACUGGAAGAGGAAAGCGGAAUUCUCGGUGUAAGAGUGAAAUCUGUAGAUAUCGAGAGGAACACCAGUGGCGAAGGCGGCUUUCUGGUCCAGUACUAACGCUGAAUUGCGAAAGCUAGGGGAGCAAACA